GGAAAAACCACAUGGACAAUUAUUUACGUCAGUGGUUUUUGGGCGCGGUCGGCACGACGCCUUCGUUGCCGGCAAGCGUCAAGUACUUGUCCUUCCGGGUCAGCCCUGUGAGCUCAAACCCCAGCGCCUUGCCGAGCUCGCGCUGCACCCGGUUCGCCACGUCGAUGCUGUGGCCGCGGCCACCGUUGUCCACCGGCGCGGUGGCGGCGCGCGGCAGGAACUCCACACGGUACGCCGGCCGCGGGUUCAUCAUGAAGUAGAAGGGGUCCAUCCACUUGCGCCCCGGCUUGGUGGACGUGCCGUAGAACAUGCCGACGCGCGUGUCCAGCGCCACGGGGUUCACGUCGACGCCGAGCUCGGCGAAGAGCGGGCUGAGCCGGAGCAGGUACUCCUCCCGGCACGUGGUCCCCUCGGGGCACACCACCAGGUCGCCGCGCGCCAGCACCGCCGCCAUGUUGCGCUGGUCCUUCUCGCGGUCCCGCGUCAGGCGCGCCGUGCGGAUCGGCGCGAUCAGCUCCGACACCGGGCUCAGGCUGUACGUCACCGCGGUCACCGGCUUCCCCAGCGCCGCGGCCACGAUGACAGGGUCAAGCAGCGUGCGGUGGUUGCAGACGUACAGUCGCCCGCCGCCGCCUUGGCGCGUGGCGGUGGGCUCGUGGCCGGCCACGAGGCGGUAGUGCACUCCGGUGAGCGCACCUACCGGGAAGCAGACGCGAUACGGGAGGAAGGAGAAGGCGAUGAUGCGGAAGACGACGAGCACGAUGCCGAACGGGAGGAAGGUGUACAUGGCGAGCGCAGCCGGCGGCGUGGGCGCGAAGGCGAGGCGGCCGUCGUGGAAGACGAGAGGCCUCGGGUACUUGUCCCGCGGCAGCGGUCGCCAUCCCCGCGUGUCGGUCUCGCUUACAGCGAAAGUUUCCUGCAGGCACAGAAGGUGCGCACGCGUUGUACGUAAUGUCAAGGGCGCUGGCGUGUGCCAUCACUAGGAUCAGCACAGUGCACAUGUGUUAGUUGAUUGCACUAUAUAUUCCAGAGAGAAUGUAUGACUAAUUAGAAUGGCUUAUAAUUUGAAACAUAUAGAAUAGUAAAAACCUUGUUUUUUUAUUUUAAAAAAGCACGACUAAACAUAGUUUAUAUAUUUCGUGCCUGACCCUCCCACCAACUCGUGC
rnacentral:misc_RNA from 1 species